rnacentral:tRNA from 1 species
CAUUCUUUAUAAACUACUUCC